UUCACGCUUUUGACUAUUCAUCAUCUUCCUCAUUUCUCCUCUCUUCUCAAAUCCUAAACCCUUUCUCCCUCUCUGACCUUGUUAAAACCUGAAACCAGACAACUUCAACCUUGCUCAUUCCUUUGAGACUUUGAAUACCACGAGCAAGAUUCAUCCUCUUCCUCUCGAUUCAAAACCGUUUUUCUUUUUUUUUCUCCCUCUCUGUGCAGCAGACCCAAAUCUCACCGAAGCCACGAACACCACUUCUCACGGUGAUUCUACAAUCCUAAUCGGCGUUCCUCUUCUCGAUGCUAGCAUUAUAUUCUCUGAAAUUUGAUUCAAGACACAUCAAUUAGAUUGAAUUACUGAUUUUUUUUGUGAGGAAGCAAACAGUUACUACAAAUACAAUCAACACUCUAUAGUUGUUUCUUUUGGGGCAAAUAUCAAGCCGAAAUCUUCCUCCCUUGUCUUGGUUCUACCGAUUUGGGGAAGAUUGAGUGAGUUUUGGUCCUGCUGAUUAAACAUCAAAUUCAAGCCGAAAAGAGAACUUUGAACCUGAAAUUGUUCCGUUUCUUGCUGCUGCAAGCAGAAGGAAGCGACGUCAUCGAGGAACCUUUCUAGCUGAUAGCUGCGAAUCGAACCUGACUCUUUGAAGCGUCGUCCUUGUUUGAUUACAGAUCGGAACCGGUCGGGAACGAUGGGUAGCGGUGAUUGAAUAGCGUUCCAAGGAUGUAUAUUGAGUUGAGCACGUAGGAAUUUGUAGAUUUGUAUUAGGAUUUUGGAUAAAUGUAAAAUUUGUUUGGCUGUGCUGGUUAUAUUGGACUUGUAGAGAAUUGUAUGAUUAUCUUGUGUAUUAGUUAGAUGUAUGCUUUAUUUGGGAUUUAGCUGAGUUAGUCACGUUGAAGAGCUUGUGACCCCUUUGCUUGAGUUCUGGAAGUGUGAUUUCAGUUUCUUGGGAAACGAACCCAGUGAUGACCCUGUUUACCCAGUCAACGGUAAGUCGGGUUGUUACAUAUUUUCUAUAUUUUCACGCUUAAUUUUGGAUAACACUGCUAUUUUAAUCCACUGAUAUAUCCUGGUAGUCCUUAUACAUUUCCAAUUAUGGCAAAACAAGGACAUAUAUUGAUAUUCUCUAUAAUUCUAUCAUUUUGCACUUCUUUUUAUUUCAAUCUGUUUUAUUAAUUUGCGCUUAUUUUUUAAUGGUCUCACUAUUCUUCUUUUAAUCUCAUUCAAAAGUAUAUAUUGUCUCCCCAUCUUAACCACUCCUUUUCAUUCUCCAAUUUUUUCUGUAUCAUUUUCUAAUUUAAUAUUUUUUCCGUUAAAUUUCACUAAUUUUAUAUCUGGCUCAAAAUAAAAGGAAUAGAAAUACUAUAUAAGUCCUAUAAAGCCAAUUAAUAAAAUGUGCUCCCACUAGAACACCAAUUGUAAUGGGCACAUUCACAUAAUGACAUAGAAAUGAAUUAUGAUUACCCAAUAUGAAUACAAUGUCGGUGCCGUGCGUAUCCGAGACUAAGAGUAAUCCCCGGCCGCCUAGCAUUUAAUGAUUUUAAUCCAACAAAAAUCAUAUUUUAAUAUUUUUUUAGCUGAACAAUAAUACUAAUAAACAACUAAUAAAUCAUUACUACUAUAAAAAUUUAGAAAUUCUAUUUGGUGAUUACAAAUUUUUUUU